GUGACUGGUAGGUUCCAGGUUCCAAGCGGAACUGUAGGAACCGGGAACCGCUCACCCCUAAUCACGAUGAUCUUGUUUUUUUCUCGAGAUAAAUAUAUUGAAAAUCCUAAAAGUAUAAUUGGUCUUAGAAGUUAUCAAAUUGGUUCAAUCAAGUCAUUCCGUAAAUUAUAUUUAUUAAAAGUUUUAGGAUUCGAGUAUACUUUCAUGAUAAGUUCUAGAGCUCCAUUGCAUUUGCAUGAUAAGUUUCAGGACUUUUAAAAUCCAUUCGUUUCAUGGAAAAUAUCAUAUUUUUAGAGAACAUUUUCCCAAAAGUCAUUUUCCAAGAAAAUGACUCUACUUUCCUAACGAUGGCCGGCCGCCUAGCGGCCGACUAAGACUUGAUCGCGGAUCCAGCAAGCUUGAGGCUUGGCCAAUCUCACCCGAGCCCCGCCCAACGAACCUCCGGCAAGCUUGGGCGAGGCCUGAGCCCCACCCAGCUCACUAGAUCUAGCGAGGCCCGAGCUCGCCGGGCUUGGGCGAACUUGGCUUCACCAGAUCGGGCUAGGCAGAGCCUCGCCGACCUGGGGUGGGGCUCAGGCGGCUUGCGGCCGGUCACGCCGCCGCCAUGGCCGCGGUUAGCAACCGGCCACCAAGGAAGAAGAUGAAAUGAAAAAAAAAUAAAAACUUGAUUUUUUAAAAAAACAAAAAAGAAAAAGAAAGCAUAAAUGAAAAUAAAUAAGGUGAAAGAAGUUAUGAAAAAUGUUUUUUUUUUGGUAAAAAAAAGUUAUGGAAAAUGUUUUCCUCUUCUCAAAAGAGGGAAUCAUUUUCCACUACUUUACAAGGAGAUUUUCCAUUGAUCGGAAAACAUUUUCUUUGACCAUCUAUUUUCCGCCAUCCGAACACUGGAAAAUUCGAAAAAUGUUUUCCCGGAAGUUGUUUUCCGCGAAACACUGGAAAUUUCGGAAAAUAUUUUCCCGGAAGUUGUUUUCCGCGAAACAAACGGACCCUUAAUGUGUUUAUUCAUUUUUUCUUGGUACAUAAGGUGUAUAUGUUGAUUUGUUGCCUAAUGUUUCGUUCCUUCUCGCUGAGUACUCAGAGAGAGAUGUGGCUGUGACGGUCCGGACCGACGAUGGGUCCGGUCGAUCUGCCCUUUUCGUUCCUGUUCCAGAUUCCUGAUCUCAUGCUUCUGCCAGAUCGGAGUGGGCCUUCGGUUUGAGAAACCGGGUUUUCUUGCUUUAUGGCUUUCAAGGGGGCCACGUCCAUGGGUUUAUCUUUCACUGUUUAUUAGGUUUUGUCCAAGACUGACGGUCAUCAUAUCCCAACCAAUGUGUACUGGGUGCCAUGCUCCGUUGCUACUGCCGACUCACGUGUUCAACAUGCGCGGACUAGAGAUAUCAAGUCCACCAAUCUAUCUAUGGCAGCAAGUCCAUCCUCUGGCACCUCUCCGAGAAGGACAAGAUCUACAGCAUACGGCGACACUGCCUCGCCGGCCACUCCCAUUUCGUUCAAGACGUCGUCCUUUCCUUCAAUAGCAAGUUCCCCUCUCCGGCUUUGGGGACUGCGAGCUCCAUAUCUUGGAUCUCAUUGUCUACAUCUGCACAAAUUGAUCAUUUUCUCUUUUGCCAACACUUCAAACUCUUGUAGCAUCUUGUUUAUUAGGGGUGACCACGGUCUGAAUCCAAUUCGAGAACCGGUCUAGUUACCAAUUCCCAAAAUUAGAAAUCGGCAAUAACCGGUCCGGUUCUCAACUCUGUAUAAGGAAUCUACUGAUCGGACUAGACCAUAUAACUCAUUUCUUUUUCUUUUUUUCUUUUUUUCUCCUUCUAUUUUAAUUAGUUUAAGUGGAGGUUUUAUAUGCUUGGCUCCAGUGGGCCACUAGAACCAAGCACUUUAGAACUUUGCCGGAGAGCCACAAAACACUCUUGUUUGAUAAUCAGGAUAAGUUUUCAUAGUCUUUUAUUGA